rnacentral:rRNA from 1 species
GGUUAAGCGACUAAGCGUACACGGUGGAUGCCCUGGCAGUCAGAGGCGAUGAAGGACGUGCUAAUCUGCGAUAAGCGCCGGUAAGGUGAUAUGAACCGUUAUAACCGGCGAUUUCCGAAUGGGGAAACCCAGUGUGACUCGUCACACUAUCAUUAACUGAAUCCAUAGGUUAAUGAGGCGAACCGGGGGAACUGAAACAUCUAAGUACCCCGAGGAAAAGAAAUCAACCGAGAUUCCCCCAGUAGCGGCGAGCGAACGGGGAGGAGCCCAGAGCCUGAAUCAGCAUGUGUGUUAGUGGAAGCGUCUGGAAAGGCGCGCGAUACAGGGUGACAGCCCCGUACACAAAAGCGCAUGUGCUGUGAGCUCGAUGAGUAGGGCGGGACACGUGGUAUCCUGUCUGAAUAUGGGGGGACCAUCCUCCAAGGCUAAAUACUCCUGACUGACCGAUAGUGAACCAGUACCGUGAGGGAAAGGCGAAAAGAACCCCGGCGAGGGGAGUGAAAAAGAACCUGAAACCGUGUACGUACAAGCAGUGGGAGCACCCUUUGGGGUGUGACUGCGUACCUUUUGUAUAAUGGGUCAGCGACUUAUAUUCUGUAGCAAGGUUAACCGAAUAGGGGAGCCGGAGGGAAACCGAGUCUUAAUUGGGCGUUAAGUUGCAGGGUAUAGACCCGAAACCCGGUGAUCUAGCCAUGGGCAGGUUGAAGGUUGGGUAACACUAACUGGAGGACCGAACCGACUAAUGUUGAAAAAUUAGCGGAUGACCUGUGGCUGGGGGUGAAAGGCCAAUCAAACCGGGAGAUAGCUGGUUCUCCCCGAAAGCUAUUUAGGUAGCGCCUCGUGAA